rnacentral:ribozyme from 1 species
ACUAACAUGCUCUGCAAAGGGAUGGGAUCCGAAGCCCCUUUGAGGGAUAAUAGAGGCUCUCCCAUUCAACUCCUAUUCUGACACGUCCUUGUCGUGCAGAGUGUUAACAUGUGCCAGCCAAGCUACGAUACACGGACUAGUUUGCA